rnacentral:rRNA from 1 species
GAGUUUGAUCCUGGCUCAGAUUGAACGCUGGCGGAAUGCUUUACACAUGCAAGUCGAACGGCAGCACGGGUGCUUGCACCUGGUGGCGAGUGGCGAACGGGUGAGUAAUGCACCGGAACGUACCCAGUAAUGGGGGAUAACACAUCGAAAGAUGUGCUAAUACCGCAUACGCCCUGAGGGGGAAAGCGGGGGAUCGUAAGACCUCGCGUUAUUGGAGCGGCCGAUGCCGGAUUAGCUAGUUGGUGGGGUAAAGGCCCACCAAGGCGACGAUCCGUAGCUGGUCUGAGAGGACGACCAGCCACACUGGGACUGAGACACGGCCCAGACUCCUACGGGAGGCAGCAGUGGGGAAUUUUGGACAAUGGGGGAAACCCUGAUCCAGCCAUUCCGCGUGAGUGAAGAAGGCCUUCGGGUUGUAAAGCUCUUUCGCAAGGAAAGAAAACUUAUCUACUAAUACUAGAUGAGGCUGACGGUACCUUGAUAAGAAGCACCGGCUAACUACGUGCCAGCAGCCGCGGUAAUACGUAGGGUGCGAGCGUUAAUCGGAAUUACUGGGCGUAAAGCGUGCGCAGGCGGUUCGAUAAGUCUGAUGUGAAAUCCCCGGGCUCAACCUGGGAACUGCGUUGGAAACUGUCGAGCUAGAGUGUAGAAGAGGGGGGUAGAAUUCCACGUGUAGCAGUGAAAUGCGUAGAGAUGUGGAGGAAUACCGAUGGCGAAGGCAGCCCCCUGGGCUAACACUGACG